GAGCAAACAGGAUUAGAUACCCUGGUAGUCCACGCCGUAAACGAUGUCGACUUGGAGGUUGUGCCCUUGAGGCGUGGCUUCCGGAGCUAACGCGUUAAGUCGACCGCCUGGGGAGUACGGCCGCAAGGUUAAAACUCAAAUGAAUUGACGGGGGCCCGCACAAGCGGUGGAGCAUGUGGUUUAAUUCGAUGCAACGCGAAGAACCUUACCUACUCUUGACAUCCAGAGAAGUUUGCAGAGAUGCGAACGUGCCUUCGGGAACUCUGAGACAGGUGCUGCAUGGCUGUCGUCAGCUCGUGUUGUGAAAUGUUGGGUUAAGUCCCGCAACGAGCGCAACCCUUAUCCUUUGUUGCCAGCGAUUCGGUCGGGAACUCAAAGGAGACUGCCAGUGAUAAACUGGAGGAAGGUGGGGAUGACGUCAAGUCAUCAUGGCCCUUACGAGUAGGGCUACACACGUGCUACAAUGGCAUAUACAAAGAGAAGCGACCUCGCGAGAGCAAGCGGACCUCAUAAAGUAUGUCGUAGUCCGGAUNCUCCAUGAAGUCGGAAUCGCUAGUAAUCGUGGAUCAGAAUGCCACGGUGAAUACGUUCCCGGGCCUUGUACACACCGCCCGUCACACCAUGGGAGUGGGUUGCAAAAGAAGUAGGUAGCUUAACCUUCGGGAGGGCGCUUACCACUUUGUGAUUCAUGACUGGGGUGAAGUCGUAACAAGGUAACCGUAGGGGAACCUGCGGUUGGAUCACCUCCUUACCUUAAAGAA
rnacentral:rRNA from 1 species